rnacentral:rRNA from 2 species
CUCAAAUUUGAAAUCUGGGGCCCCCGACCCCCGAGUUGUAAUUUGGAGAGGCACCUUCGGGAGGAGCGCUGGCCCAUGUUCCUUGGAACAGGACGUCGCAGAGGGUGAGAAUCCCGUGCCAGGCCAGCCGCGCCCUUCCUUGUGAAGCGCCUUCGACGAGUCGAGUUGUUUGGGAAUGCAGCUCCAAGUGGGUGGUAAAUUUCAUCUAAAGCUAAAUACCGGCGAGAGACCGAUAGCGCACAAGUAGAGUGAUCGAAAGAUGAAAAGCACUUUGAAAAUAGAGUCAAAAAGUACGUGAAAUUGUUGAAAGGGAAGCGCUUGAGACCAGACUCGGAGCGAGGCAAACAUCUGGCCCCGCGGGGCCGUGCACUUGCCUCGAUCCGGGCCAGCAUCAGUUGGCGUGGCGGGAGAAAGGCGCGGGGAAUGUGGCUCCCCCCGGGGAGUGUUAUUAGCCCCGCGCUCAAUGCCGCCCUCGCCGACUGAGGACCGCGCUUCGGCUAGGAUGCUGGCUUAAUGGCCUUCAGCGACCCGUCUUGAAACACGGA